rnacentral:misc_RNA from 1 species
GAAAUGCGAUAAGUAAUGUGAAUUGCAGAAUUCAGUGAAUCAUCGAAUCUUUGAACGCACCUUGCGCUCCUUGGCAUUCCGAGGAGCAUGCCUGUUUGAGUGUCGUCGAAUUCUCAGAACCCCUCCUGCUUCUUCAGGCAGCAGGGUCUGGAUCGGUGGAGGAUGCAUUGCUGGGCUAACUAACCCUUUGCUUCUCUGAAAUGGAUCGGCGGUCUGGCUUCGUUGUCGGUAUGAUACACAUACAUGUCUUACCUGCUUCUAACCUGUGCCAGCCUUGAACACAAACGCACUCUCACGAUUUGACCUCAAAUCAGGCAGGACUACCCGCUGAACUUAA